rnacentral:rRNA from 1 species
CACGUAGGCACCAAGCGUUGUCCGGAUUUAUUGGGCGUAAAGAGCUCGUAGGCGGUUCGUCGCGUCGGCUGUGAAAUCCCGAGGCUCAACCCCGGGCCUGCAUUCGAUACGGGCAGACUAGAGUUCGGUAGGGGAGUCUGGAAUUCCUGGUGUAGCGGUGAAAUGCGCAGAUAUCAGGAGGAACACCGGUGGCGAAGGCGGGACUCUGGGCCGAUACUGACGCUGAGGAGCGAAAGCGUGGGAGCAAACAGG